GGUGAACGGCGGCAGUCCUGCCGAGCGGGCCGGUCUGAGGGCCGGCGACGCCGUCAUCAGCAUCGGCGGGCAGAACGCCAUCGAGAUGCGCCACAAGGAGGCGCAGGACUCCAUAGUCCGCUCCGGCAACAACAUCAGCAUGGUCGUCCAAAGGGGUGGUCUGGCCUCGCUCCGCCUGCCGCCGAGUGCCACCAGUGUACCCAAGGACGCGCCGGACGCUGCAGCUGCCCCGCAGCAGCAGCAGCAGCAGCAGGUGCAGCAGCAGGCUCAGCCGGCGGAGCACCCGCACCCG